UUGCUUUGAGGUCAAAUCGAAGCAACUCAGUUCAUGAUCCUCAAAAUUCAAAUCCCUGUAUCUUUUUAUAUACUUGGAAUUAGAGAAAAUUGAGGCCAAAUUCGUGUUCCUGAGCAUUUUUCCUUCAAAUUAGUGUAUUCAUUUUUCAUUUUUUAAUGAAGUUGAGCCUGAACCAGACCGGUGGUGAUCACUGGAGAAGAUGAUCGGAGCUAGGGCUCCG
rnacentral:lncRNA from 1 species